rnacentral:rRNA from 1 species
GACGAACGCUGGCGGCGUGCUUAACACAUGCAAGUCGAACGGAAAGGCCCCUUUGGGGGUACUCGAGUGGCGAACGGGUGAGUAACACGUGAGUAACCUGCCCUUGACUUCGGGAUAACUUCAGGAAACUGGGGCUAAUACCGGAUAGGAAUCCUUGCUGCAUGGUGGGGGUUGGAAAGCUUCGGCGGGUUUGGAUGGACUCGCGGCUUAUCAGCUUGUUGGUGGGGUAGUGGCUUACCAAGGCUUUGACGGGUAGCCGGCCUGAGAGGGCGACCGGCCACAUUGGGACUGAGAUACGGCCCAGACUCCUACGGUAGGCAGCAGUGGGGAAUAUUGCACAAUGGGCGGAAGCCUGAUGCAGCAACGCCGCGUGCGGGAUGACGGUCUUCGGGUUGUAAACCGCUUUCAGCAGGGGCGAAGCUUGUGGUGACGGUACCUGCAGAAGAAGCACCGGCUAACUACGUG